CGGCACGCGCUGGGGCGGCGGAGUGCACGGGUGGAGGGCUGACAGGGCGGCGCUGGCGGCAUACCGGAAGAAACUUUCGUGUUCGUCGGGCAACACUGUCACCGAGAACCUUUCCCCACGGGAGUUCUAGGACGCUGCUGGCCGCUGAAGUAUGUUUGUAUCGAAAGCGAGCCGGUACGCCUUCAGAAUUUCCCACAAUGUCUACCUCGACAACCAACUGACUCCUGGCAAGGACCGCAUUGUGGCCUCCUCAGCCUUCGCGCUGUCCACCCUCGGAAUCCUGCUGUCGGCCUUCAGCCUCCGCCAGAUGGGCCACAGCCAAAAGUGGAGUCAGCGGGGAUGACCCCGACAGCGGCUGACCGCCCCCAAAGAAACGCGCCCGACCCUCGACAGAAGCAGCUGCCAUGUUGCGUGCCGUCAUCUCGUGUGCAGCUCUGGGCCACAGAUUGUGUCUAUGCUGGACAUUUUAGCUAUUUCUCCCUCAUUCGUCUAGCACCGAUUCUGACAAAGGACUUUUAGGACCCAAUUAGCAACUGACAUUUCAACGCAAUGUAUGCCAUACUGAAAAAAAGAGAAAAUGCUUGUUCUUCCCAAAGACA